UCACCAGGGCCUCCUGAGGACUCAUUAUUGGGGGCUCUACUCCCAUCUGGGUUGAGACGAUAACUUUAUUUUGUUAUCAGAAGCUCCCUCCCUAGCGCCCUGCAGCCUGCUAGAGCCUACCCAGAGCUCUGGGGUCAGAGCUGCCUGGGGUCUGCAUGACUCAUGCAGAUUCUUCUUUCCCAGAGGAUGGUCCCAAGAGCAAGGUGCUCUGUCCUGAGAUGCAGUCUGUGUUCAACAGACUGUGUGUGGAACAGUGAUGGGGACUCACAUGCUUUGGGAUCUGCUUGGAGUGAGACUGGAGAAUUAUGAGCCAAGACGGCUGAGUCCUCGCACCUCGGCUCAGACCCCGUGGCUCACCUUGGAAGCGCUUGGCAGCUGCCUCCCGCAAGGAAAAGAAGAUGUCACACAUGACGGUAGGACAGCUCACUCCGGACUUUGUGAUGACAGUGAAGAUGCGAUCCACGUACUGCCGCAGGCUCUCCUUCAAGAGUUGGGAAAUUAGACCUAGAGUCUCCCUAAGGCCAAGACAGCACCAGAGACAUGCCCAAGGACAGGGGAGCCCAGACCUCUGUGAUACUCGCAAACACACUCCCUGUAAAGAUCUGUGUUGAGUGGCUACAGAAUUCAACCCCUUGGGUCCUCUUGCUCAGCAUCACGGAAUGUAGACUGAACUUCACUAGGAUCCGAGGAACCCACAUUUCUGUUUAAAAGCGUGACCCUAACAAAGCCUGCUCUGUGUGAAGGCAUAAGAAGACACUAGAAUGUGUGAGCCCUUCGAACAGUCUGACAUGCUUCACAUGGA